rnacentral:rRNA from 1 species
UACGUAAGGUGCAAGCGUUGUCCGGAAUUAUUGGGCGUAAAGAGCUCGUAGGCGGUUUGUUGCGUCGGCUGUGAAAACCUGAGGCUCAACCUCAGGCCUGCAGUCGAUACGAGCAGACUAGAGUGUUGCAGGGGAGACUGGAAUUCCUGGUGUAGCGGUGAAAUGCGCAGAUAUCAGGAGGAACACCGGUGGCGAAGGCGGGUCUCUGGGCAACAACUGACGUGAGGAGCGAAAGCGUGGGGAGCGAACAGG